rnacentral:rRNA from 1 species
GAUAAACGCUGGCGGCGUGCCUAACACAUGCAAGUCGAACGAUGAAGCUUAAAAGAUUUCUUCGGAAUGAACUUAAUUGGAUUAGUGGCGGACGGGUGAGUAACGCGUGAGUAACCUGCCUUGUACAAGGGGAUAGCCGUUGGAAACGACGAAUAAUACCCUAUGACAUCAAAUAAUCGCAUGAUAAUUUGAUCAAAGAUUUAUCGGUAUAAGAUGGACUCGCGUCUGAUUAGCUAGUUGGUAGAGUAAAAGCCUACCAAGGCAACGAUCAGUAGCCGGCUUGAGAGAGUGUACGGCCACAUUGGGACUGAGACACGGCCCAGACUCCUACGGGAGGCAGCAGUGGGGAAUUUUGCACAAUGGGGGAAACCCUGAUGCAGCGACGCCGCGUGAUUUAGAAGGCCUUCGGGUUGUAAAAAUCUUUUGUAUGGGAAGAAAAUGACAGUACCAUACGAAUAAGGACCGGCUAAUUACGUG